GUCUGAACUGACCAGGGUAAGGGA
rnacentral:piRNA from 1 species